AGUGUUUUUUUUUGCUGAAUCAGGUAGUUCAUAAAUCAUUACGAUUAUUUAUUAUUAUUAAAUAUAUGAUGUCUUUAGAGAAAAUAAUAAAAGUUUUGUACAAACAUUAAAAAUGCUAGCACUGUUAAUCGCAACUUAAACUCAAUUAACUUCUCAUAAACAACCAGUAUCUAUUCAAGUGCCCUUUACCUUCCAGUGUCAGUGGUGACCGCCGUCGACGGGGCGACACUCCUUAUGCUGAACGGCUACUCUUUCUCCAAUCCCGCACCCAUGACAGGUGGCGAGCGGUGGUACUGCUCAGGCAGGUUCAAAUGGAAAUGCAAUGUCUGCCUUCAUGUCAACGAUGACUACGAAUUCGUCUGCAUAUCAAACGUACACACGCACAAACCACCAGUAUACGAAAAGACCCCAGAUGGACUUUACGUGGAAACUGGUCUUUAAUCUUAAGGAAUAAAGUUUAAUAUCGUUUGACUCGGUUUUUAAGGACUGCAAUUAUGCUCAGAGGGCGUACUACCUUUUAGAAUAUUAUUUAUUGCAGUUGUGGCAAAGAGCUGCUCUACAACGCACAACUGCAAAAAUAUAAAUUUAUGAAGUGUUGGUUGGCCGAAAUCAAAUUAAGCUUUUGUAUUCGAAUGUGAUCUCUUAUUUGUAUGACAGAUUGUGAAUGUACUAAACAUGUAAAAUAUUUUUAGUAUUAUUUUUACAUUAUAAAACUAAAGUGUUCAGGGUAUUUAUUAAAUUAAUAGGUUAGUUUAUUAUUGAUGUGGCGAAACUAUUUUUGUGUCUUAUAAACUUUUAGAAUUAGAUAUUUGGUAAAAAUAUUCGUGUACUCCAUUAUGCAUAUUUGGUAGUUGUAAUAACGGAGAUAACGAAAAACCGGGAAAAUGACAACACCAGCCACAAUUAUUUUUUCUUGAAAAUAAAAACUUUUGUGAUUGGUAACAUUUAUUACACUGUCAUGUGUGUUUAAACGACUUUCACUUUAGGGUCAUUUGAUCAAUGACUUUAUUUUACGAAUGUAUUGUACCUGACUUAAAUAUUUACUGGAUUUUCAGAAAAAUGACGGUGCCCAUUAAAGUAUUACGCUGACUCAAACUAUUUAUUGUUAUGUUGACUUUUUUAUCGUUUGCUUGUACACUGACGCUUUUUAAGUCCUCUAUCUAAUUACCUAAGUACUUACAUAAGUUUACUGGGUAAAUUUCAAGAAAAUGGCUGUCUGCAAUUUAGAAAUAAAAAAUAAUAUUUUUAGUAAUUUGUGGUAGUGUGUUUUUUAUUAACAAAAGUUUUAUAUUGCUCACAGAGAAAAAAGUGAAACUGAAGCACUCGCUCAUAAGACUUGUGGGCAAAGUUGAUACCCGCCCUUGUGUAAACUGCGUCAAGAUGUGGGUUGUGGCGUAUAGGCGAGGAGUCGCCCUUAACUUGCCCAGGAAAGUAUUAACCUACUGCGGAAAAUGCCCCGACAAACCCUACUAUUGUUACAAUUGUUUCUUCAAGAUGCAUGUACUGAACUAAAUGUAUUCUUCAAAAGAUUAUCGGUGUGAUAAAUGUCUAUUUCUGUAUAUCUAUAUGUGAGUACCGAAAAAUGAAAAUUUAUAUAUUUGAUGUUAUAAAACCUUAGAAAUUAAGACCAAAUUGUAGUCUCCAUAAGACAUUCCAAAGAUUUGUAAUUCUUGAGAAUCUGUAUCAUACCUUCAGCACUAGUAUUUAUUCGAAGGAAUCCGGAUUUACAGAUAUUUUGUAUUAGAAAGUCCCAAUUAAUGGACUUUGUCUAAUAUUAAGCAAGACUAAGUUUUAUCUAUAACAAUUUCAGCUGUUCUCGUAAAAGUAUUUAUUAAUUUUAAGUACAUCGAUCUCAUUUUUCUACCUAAAGUAUUUUGGACUCAAACCAAAUAUCAGAUAUUCAGAUGUUUUUCUUAUAAAGAUAAGGCAAAAUUAAUUAUGCCUAAAAUAUUUUUAUUGAUAUAUUGAACGGUAUUAUCAAUGUUGUCAAUCUAUAGAUAUGAACUUAGUAUCUACCUUUUUAAUUCUAGUAGUUUGAAGUCCGCAAAUGAUAUUGUGAGACAUAAAUGUUUAGGUAAUAAGUGAUAAUAGGAUUAAUUUAUAUUAGUGGUAAGUUAUUGCUUCCAAAGUUUAUUUUAGCUUAAUGUCAUGGUCAUUACUUCAAGGGUAAAGAUUUUACUGAGUGCAAUGGAUGCCGAAUACCUAUAUGUAGGUAGGUGUCUAUAAGACGGCAUGUGAUAUGGAAUUUCGAAGUAUUUUGACCAAAAACGCUGCUAUUUUUAUUUCCUUAAGACUGCUUUUUAUGUAACGGUGAUACCGGCGCUCAAUGGCUAUGGGAAAAUUGAAUCGUGAUUAAACUGUGAUGUUUUGGACUAAUAAGGGUAGGUAACCUAGUAGUCCAGUUUUGGCAAUGAGAUGUGAUUUAGGACUUUAUAUUUAUUUAGCUGCACUUCUCCAAAGAAAUAAAGCGAUAUUUUUUGUCCCUUAACUUUUACAUACUUGUAGGUAUAUUGUAAGUUUAUGUAGAAUCAUAAUUUUAAGCUGUCUUCCGUGUCGUAUAAAAAAGUAUUUCAUGGUCUUUAUAAAUGUUAAAAAAAAUAUUGAUGUUGGCUGUUUUAAAAAAUUAAAUUUCGAUAUUAGGGAUAUAUGAUAUUUCCAUUAAUACAGGUACUUUUGACUAUUAUCAAAAUUAAUAUAUAUGUAUAUUCGAUGUGAUAUUAAAAUGAAUGAUGGUUGUGUCCAUUUUAGGCCUAAUAUAUUAUGAGGCAUUAAUUGUGAAGAAAUCGUUGGACCUAAACUCUAUUUAAAGUAGUACUGUAGUAAACCUAGGAUAUAGCCCUGACUUGGCCCAAUUUUUAGGGGUACAACAGGCAUUUUACUGUAUUUUAUCUUUUUAACCAAGACAGUAUUUGUGUGUGUGUAGUAUUAAGUUAAGCUCUGCGAUUUUACUGAGCUUCUACUGAUCGUGAUUUUUCUAGUUUAUACUUAAUUCAUAAUAGUUUUACUACUUACACUUGUUCAUUUUGCACAAUAUCUAUUUUUACCAAGACGGUGUUUUUUUUUGUGUAGCUCGAAUUUGAAUCCUGUUAAGUUCUCGGUUGCCAAAUUAAUAUAAAUAUAUUUAAAUGAUAUGAUGAUUCCUAGUCAAUAGUUAAAAAACAUAUGCAGGAAAUAUGAACUUAUCAAAAAUGUAUGUAAUACGUAGAUAUUUAUAGAAUUCAGAGAUUUCUGUGUGUCAAUGUUUAAAUGAAUGUCUUCAAAAUAAAACUUAGCUGAAUAAAUCUCAUUUUUGUUUUUUUAUUACCUACUUCACUUUUUUAUACUGGGGGUCUAUCACCACCUCUUAAUGUAAGACCGUUGUAGAAAAAACACAGUCGAUGUUGAUAGGCCCCUUGUUCUUGUAAUUUGGCAGCAUUUUUACAGUUGAACUUUUUUCAGACUUGGACUACAAAUUUAUACCUUCCGGACGGGGGAAGAACUCUCUUCUUCUCCUAGAAGGCAACACGUUUAGCCAAGCUAAGAAAGAUAUAAGAUAUUGGAACUGCUCCAAAAGGACCUCAAUGGGAUGCAAGGCCAAAGUCCAUUUUAACAACAGUUUUUCUAUCAUAUAUUAUGAUAAAACACAUAACCAUAGUCCUCCGAGAUAUUAUAGGCAACUGGAUGGGAGUUAUAUUAAAAUAGGUUAAGUUGCAAGGGCGUCGCAUCACCGCGUAGAUCAAAACUUGGAGUUGUAGAACUGUGGCAGCGCGACACACUGUACCUAUAGAGCGUCGUAAUUGUUCCUCAACUUCAAUAGUCUUUCUUUAAGAGGCGGUUGUAAACCCCUUGGUUAAAGGUUUUAUGAUAUGCAGCUGAAUACGAAACUUUUAAACCCAUGUUGGUAUUAAAAUAUUAGAACAAAUAUAGUACUUAUUUAUAUUAAGGUAAUUUAAAAUAGCUGUUAAUAAUAAACUUUCUUCUACGAGUAGUUUAUUUCUUAGUUCUAAGAUCCUUUAAAUUUUAAUUAAAUACUGUAUUUAUAUAAUUAUUGUACUUAAUUAGAUUUAGGUAAUGUUUAGACUAGUCAAUAAAUAUGAUCGUCGGUAAUUUAGGUCGUAAACGCUUACGCUUUUCCCCUUUUUAUUUUAUUUUUGUUGCAACCUUUUUUCUUUAGUUACAGUAAUCUCACUGUCUACGGGUAAAAAUUUGCUCAUUGUCAAUGGGUAUACUUUUAAAGAAGAAUACCAUGUAAACGGUGUGACAAAAUGGAUAUGUAACGAGCCAAGUAACGGGAAGUGUGAAGUUUGUCUCUUCGCCAAUAAAAAGUACCACGUUCUACUCAUGGAAAACGUCCAUACCCAUGAGCCUAUAUUGUGCCGUAUAUUUCAAGACAGGAUUCUAAUCGAAAGGCAAUGAAACUUUGGAAGAGGAAGAAGAAGAAGAAGAACAGGAGUACACAACAGUAACAGAAUACGUAGGAGAGGAGCCAGAACCGGCAGAAGAUGUGGCUCUUUUCGUAGAAUCUCGCAGAGGAAAAACCGUCCUUCAAUACAACGGACACAGAUAUCGCAAAGCAUAUAAAUCUAAGAAUGGGGUCCGAUGGAACUGUUCCUUGAACAAGAACUGCUCAGCAUUCCUGUUCUUGAAUGAUAAUGAUGAGAUUCUUAUGUCCAAUGAGGACCAUGAUCACCCACAGUCGGCAAGGCUGGAAAACGUUGACACGGACCAGACAGACACAGCUGUAGUGAUCACAUCUCGCAAGGGUAAAGAGAUGCUUUUAUUCCGAAAGUACACUUACCGCAAGCAGUACGUCAAAGGGAACAAGUCCCGUUGGAUCUGUUCCACUCUCAAGAACUGCCGCGGCUGCGUCUUCACUGACAGCAAUAACUUCAUCAUCUCUGCCUUUGAGGGCCACUGCCAUGAUCCCCCGAAGUAUUACCUCAAGCCCGACCACGUACUCAGUGCUCUGAGAGAACCCUUGAUCAUUGAGACCGAUUAAAUAAGUUUAUAGGUCGAAAUUUAAUCAUACGUUAGACUAUAUACCCGUAUUGUAAUCGUAAUUAUUAUGUACCCUUUGAUCAACUAAUAAAUUAAAAAUUUGGUGAAUGUAUGUUUUUGUUGAAAUUAUUUUGCCUACGCUUUUUGUUGCAUUUGGGGACAUUUUUUACCUACCCUAGCUCAUGAGACAUGUUUGUAACUUUCAGCUUACGCAAUGAUAUCGAAACGUGGUCGACCCUUGAUACUAUACAAAAAUUAUACUUAUUCCCGGUUCCCGUAUCCUCUUAAGAAUGGUUGGCGCUGGUAUUGUUCCAAGGUGAAAAAUUGCAGGGCUUAUAUACUGACCUCAGUCGACGAUGUUAUCAUUUCAGCUACGGGGUACCAUAAUCACUUGCCGUUGCGGUGAUAAAAAGCAUAACAUGGAUUCUCAUAAAAAAGGAAUCUUAUAUUUGCAAUCAAAUAAGGCAAUUGUUAUCCUGCCAAAAAAAUAGAUUCAAUACCUAAGCGACUUGCAAUUACCUACUGAAUGUUAAAUCAGGACUUCAAUAAAGGUGCGCAAUGAAAAAUAGGUAUAUUCGUUUCAAAUGAGUUGAUAACUGCCUUAACGAAAUUUUGAGCUGAAAACUAUUAUUAAUAUAUAAAAAAUAAGUUCAAAUUUAGUCGUUGUUGUCGAAAUGGAUAUUUUGUCACUGGCUCUUCAAUUUCGAUGAGUACAGAGCGAAGAUGUUGCGUGAUUAUCUUCUCAUUUGAAACGCAUAUUUUAAUGACGUCAUCGAAACUACUGUACCUCAAAAUUGAAAACACAAAAUCCGAAAAAACGUGCUUUUUAAAUUGUAUUAGCUAAGUGCCUUUUAACUUCCUACCUACGUAUUAUAUUUACUGUGUUAUGUCUUAUUAUUGUUAAAUUAUGUAAUAUUUUAUGAUAAAACUAAUUUAAUUCUAUAAUUAUGUGCGCUGAAUAAUUAGUGCCUAGCUAACGGUGAAUAAGUAGUCAGUACUUAAUUAAAAUUUAUGUAGCUAAUGUAACUUCUUACCAAGAACAGUAUGUUAUUUAUUGUAUUAAAAAAUAGUGCCUUUGUAAGGAAAUUCACUCAUUUAAAUAAAUGUGCUUUUAAAUUGACUGAUAUGUUUAAUUUAUCUCAAAAAUUGGACCCGAUCCAUGAAGUAUUUUUUUACAGACUUAAAAAAGACGAGGUUCUCAAUUAGGGCACUUUUUUAAUCUCUUACAUUCACCUACAUAACCAAAACCGACCUACAUAUAGUUAAAGCAACAUUUAGCACUAAUUAUCGCAAAAUGCCCUUGCUUAUCGGAUGGUACUUGAUUCGAAGUACGUGAUUCAGUAGUAGGAAUACAUUGCAUUACCUCAUCAAGUAGAUUUAGAUGUUGUGUUCAGCUUAUGUCAGAACUUAAGGAGCCCUAUGUUUUAAGCACGCAGCCAAGGGCUAUCCAAAACUUAACGAAAAACAUACAUCCCGAUUUUAGUCACAGUUAAAUGUGUAAUAAACUUUGAUUUGAUUGAUAUUUUAUCUUUUCAUACAUUUGAUAUGGUCAAGGUGAAUAACUAAGGUAUAUAGUGUUCGCAAUUGUUUGUACUUAUUAGUUUACGAUAUCUACAGUGCAUAUAAUACUAAAAAAGUACUUUUUAUUUAUAGACCUUAUGUUAGUGUCUUUUCAACAUUUUGGUGAUGUGAAAUUUUAAACAAUAGACUUAUCAGAAAAAGUUCUGGGUAAACAAGUGAAAAUAAUAUCAGAUCGUAGAAAGGAAAUGACAAAUAAAGGUAUAUUCAUAAACACGCGAGGGAACUCAAAACUAUUUAUAUAUCAGAAUCAUACGUUCCGGUUCAUGUACAAGAAGGCGUAUGGGAGUCAGCUCUGGUAUUGCUGGUACUUCUUCAGCAGAUGUUGUCCUGCGAAGUUGCGGAUCAAUAACAACGGGAAGGUGACGGAGAGCAUCGGACGGCAUAACCACGACCCCCCCACGUGUUGGAUGACUCCGGACGGCAAGUCCUACAGCCUUCCCCCUCUCCCAGACAAACCCAACACGCCAAACAAUGUAUAAACAAUAAAAGUAUUUCGAAACAAUGUGUUUCACUGCCUUUAUUUUGUUGUGAAAUGAACAAACUGCCUCUAUUUCAAACAACAUGAGAUUUUUAUUUGUAUUCUAUGGAAUGUUAAGUUUAUGUCAAAGGUUUAGUUGUAAAUUAGGUUAAGUAUUAUCUACGUAUGUUAAUGAGUUUCCUAGGCUAUGUACAAACUUUGAGUUUAUUGUAAUGCAACAUAUUCUGUUAGAGUUUUAAAUAUUUAUCUUAAGAUUAUUAUUUGUACCUACAUUUUAUUUUUUAAGUGUAUUUGGCGUGUUAUUUUUUGAUAGGCGUCAUUUGGACAUUGGUUUAGAGUGAUAGGACCGCUUUUUCGUAAAAUAAUGGGUCCACGCCUUCGAGUAAAGCAAGUAUCCACCUGACCUCCACAAUCCACACAGCCAAGAUACAUAAUUCCUAGCAAGAUUGUUUUUGCCAACAAACUUCAAGAAGAUAAAAAAGACAAAUCGGUAAUCGCUCUCUUCGAUACCAUCGCCGUACAAGAAUGACCCUUAUCAAAAGAUAGCAUGUACGCAUUAAUAUAUCAGAACUUGUGGCUGAAUAUAACGUUUCAACAUUAGGUAAUUCUUACAUUUGUUGUUGUCAAGACCAUCAUAAAAAACCGUGAUAACAACAGAUUUAAGCACGUUGACACUUCUAUUGGCAACACCGAUUGUAAUGUUCCAUUUAUCGUGCAUUUUCAGUGAAAAGGCGGAGUUAAUUAUAUAGAAUUUGUUUUAUUCGCACGUAUUUUAGUAUUGUUUGUCCUUCAUAACAUUCUCGUUUCCAUUAUUUCGCUUUUAUUGGUUUGAUUCAUAACAAAUCAAGGUAAAGCGAAGUCAUUUGUGUUGUCCAAACGUAGUGUUAAAAAAAAAACCAGUCGUUUUAGAUGUUUAUCGAGAAUUUGUAUUACCGUGUAAAAACAAAUGUUAAUAAAUUUAUUAAAAGUAAUGAAGUUUUCGUUGCAAGUAAUUUAAUUUGUUAAGCUUUUGUGAAUCAUAUUAAUGCUAAAUUAUAAACCAAUAUUUUUUUUUAUUUGAUAUCGACUACGAAAAGCCAAUGCCUCAUCGAGAAAAAUAACAUAACUUUCCCAGAUUUCUCUUGCCAUCGUUCCUUUGCAUGUGUCACUGUUGACUCAUUACGUAAUAUUCGUUGACUUGGUUCUGCAAAAAAGUGUAAAUUUAUCUAUUAAUGAGAUCUCCAGCUCAUCCACAUGAUAGAUUUUCUUUCUGCUAGUAGUAAUUUUAAUAUUGCCCAGCGAGCCUGUCACCACCUCUUAAAGUAGGUAUUAUUGCAGUUGUGGAAUCGUGACAGAGCACUGCACAGCGUAGAAGUCUUAUACAACAGCAAUAAUAUUUUUUAUUUAAGGAGGAGGUAGUAAGCCUCUGAUAUCUUCUUGAGUUCAACUGGCAUUAAUCCGCAGGCUAAUGGUGUAGAUACAGAUAAAUUCCCCUAACUUUCUGCUUAGUUGGAAAAUCAUCUGAACCGUUCCAAAAGAGCAUUAGGUACCACAACAUUGAUAUGUAAAAACCCAAGAUACAAUGUCAGUGCCUAAAUAAAAGCUGAUUGAAAUAUCCACACAGUAAAAUUGCGUGGCCUUUAUACAGUCUCGCGACGUAAUAACAACUUAAUCUCAUUGUACCGCAAGGUGGAAGUUCCAAAAAAUACAUGAUAGGCAAUAAAAGACUGUUUCGAUGCAUUAAACAUCUGGGGUUCAUAUAUAUCAACCACAUCCUCUUUUAGAACGCCUAGAAUUUAGAAAUAUAAGUUCGCCGGUAGAUUUUUCAACCAGACGUCAUUGCUUCAAAAUGACAGAGAUUGUGUAUUUAAAUGUUACACUAUUAGUGUAAAAACAAAAGUUCCGUUUUGUAAUAUAGUUAUUGUGCCUUUCAAGAGUUUUAUGUAAACCAAAUAUAAAUAUAUUGUAUGUGUA